rnacentral:rRNA from 1 species
UAGAGUUUGAUCAUGGCUCAGAUUGAACGCUGGCGGCAGGCCUAACACAUGCAAGUCGAGCGGAUGAGUGGAGCUUGCUCCAUGAUUCAGCGGCGGACGGGUGAGUAAUGCCUAGGAAUCUGCCUGGUAGUGGGGGACAACGUUUCGAAAGGAGCGCUAAUACCGCAUACGUCCUACGGGAGAAAGUGGGGGAUCUUCGGACCUCACGCUAUCAGAUGAGCCUAGGUCGGAUUAGCUAGUUGGUGAGGUAAAGGCUCACCAAGGCGACGAUCCGUAACUGGUCUGAGAGGAUGAUCAGUCACACUGGAACUGAGACACGGUCCAGACUCCUACGGGAGGCAGCA